AACAAACGCUGGCGGCGUGCCUAACACAUGCAAGUCGUACGAGAAAGGGUCUUUCGGGAUCUGAGUAAAGUGGCGCACGGGUGAGUAACGCGUGGAUAAUCUGCCCUUCAGUUGGGAAUAACUCAUCGAAAGGUGGGCUAAUACCGAAUAAUACUGUGAGACCUCGGUCGAUCAGUCAAAGAGAGCCUCUGCUUGCAAGCUUUCGCUGAAGGAUGAGUCCGCGUACCAUUAGCUGGUUGGUAGGGUAAUGGCCUACCAAGGCGACGAUGGUUAGCUGGUCUGAGAGGAUGAUCAGCCACACUGGAACUGAGACACGGUCCAGACACCUACGGGUGGCUG
rnacentral:rRNA from 1 species